rnacentral:ncRNA from 2 species
CGAUGAGGUAGAGGUCGCGGUUUUUAUCAGUAAAGCGGACGAGAUGAGAGAGACAUCCUUGACUCCGUUUGAAAGGAAAAGCUGCCGAAGUGUGCUUUCAUCUCUGAAAAAGCAUGCUGGGGCUGUCUCCAAAUAGGAACAGAACUGUCACGCUUAAACCUACCAGCUAAGCGUGUUGAGCUAUCUUUCGG